ACGGAUCGCAUGGCCUCUGUG
rnacentral:siRNA from 1 species